UUUGCAUGUUAAAAAAAACAAUUCUAAUCCUUACCUUUCCUUUCUCUUGACCUCCCUGGCUUGAUCUUUCUUCAGUAACUCUGCAAGAUGUACAGAUCAAGACAAUCUUGGAAUCCAAGGAGAAAUUGCACAAGGAAAAUGUCAAUUUAAGGAAAGUCUUGGAACAACAUCCAUUGUUGUUUUGCUUCCAUAAUGGGAAGAUUUUGAAGAUCUUCCCCCAAGAGAGGGAGCCAAUCUGGGCACUCAACAUCAAGCGAGGUAUUCUCAGUGUUUUCCAGACAUCUUUGGUGGCAGCAGU